UACGGGGGGGAGCAAGCGUUGUUCGGAUUUACUGGGCGUAAAGAGCGCGCAGGCGGCUUGGCAAGUCGGGUGUGAAAUCCCGGGGCUCAACCCCGUGACUGCAUUCGAUACUGUCAGGCUAGAGGUAGGUAGGGGAGAUCGGAAUUCCUGGUGUAGCGGUGAAAUGCGCAGAUAUCAGGAGGAACACCGGUGGCGAAGGCGGAUCUCUGGGCCUUACCUGACGCUCAGGCGCGAAAGCUAGGGGAGCGAACAGG
rnacentral:rRNA from 1 species